rnacentral:rRNA from 1 species
UAUGUAGGGGGCAAGCGUUGUCCGGAAUCAUUGGGCGUAAAGCGCGCGUAGGCGGCCCGGUAAGUCCGUUGUGAAAGUCAAAGGCUCAACCUUUGAACGCCGAUGGAUACUGCCGGGCUAGAGUCCGGAAGAGGCGAGUGGAAUUCCUGGUGUAGCGGUGGAAUGCGCAGAUAUCAGGAGGAACACCAAUAGCGAAGGCAGCUCGCUGGGACGGUACUGACGCUGAGGCGCGAAAGCGUGGGGAGCGAACAGG